rnacentral:rRNA from 1 species
AUAUCAAUAAGCGGAGGAAAAGAAACUAACAAGGAUUCCCCUAGUAACUGCGAGUGAAGCGGGAAAAGCUCAAAUUUAAAAUCUGGCGGUCUAUGGCUGUCCGAGUUGUAAUCUAGAGAAGUGAUGCCCGCGCUGGACCGUGUACAAGUCUCCUGGAAUGGAGCGUCAUAGAGGGUGAGAAUCCCGUCUCUGACACGGACUACCAGGGCUUUGUGGUAUGCUCUCAAAGAGUCGAGUUGUUUGGGAAUGCAGCUCUAAAUGGGUGGUAAAUUCCAUCUAAAGCUAAAUAUUGGCGAGAGACCGAUAGCGAACAAGUACCGUGAGGGAAAGAUGAAAAGAACUUUGGAAAGAGAGUUAAACAGUAC